rnacentral:rRNA from 1 species
AUGAAAGCGGAGUCGGAAAAAGUGGUUCACGUUCUAUCACCGAAGUUAAGCAACGUCUGACGUUGUUUGUACUUUCAUGGGGACCGGACAAGAAUAUCAGGCGUUGCGGCC